rnacentral:snoRNA from 1 species
UAGACCAGUGAUGUCAAUGUGUCAUAAACCAAGGAUUAUGAUUAAUCUAAUUCUGUAAAAUUAAGAUUUUUC